rnacentral:rRNA from 1 species
UACGACUACAUAUCAGGCAUAUCAAUAAGCGGAGGAAAAGAAACUAACUAAGGAUUCCCUCAGUAACGGCGAGUGAAGCGGGAAGAGCUCAAAUUUGAAAUCUUCAAGGUUUUACCUUGACGAAUUGUAGUUUAAAGAAGUGUAUUCUGUUGAAGUUUUGGUAAGAGUUCUUUGGAAUAGGACAUCAUAGAGGGUGAGAAUCCCGUAUUUGACCAUUAUUUUCAGCUGUGUGAUACACUUUCAAAGAGUCGGAUUGUUUGGGAAUGCAGUCCAAAAUGGGUGGUAAAUUUCAUCUAAAGCUAAAUAUUGGCGAGAGACCGAUAGCGAACAAGUACCGUGAGGGAAAGAUGAAAAGAACUUUGAAAAGAGAGUUAAACAGUACGUGAAAUUGUCAAAAGGGAAGCGUUUGACACCAGUGUUGUUUUCUCGAAAAUCAAUUAAAAAAAGUUGGAUUUUGUGUUGUAUUGACCUUAACAGCUUGCUUCACUCUUUUCCAGCUUUUUUUAAUGCACUUUUCGUUUAACAAGUCAACAUCAGUUUCUUUUGUUGUAAAAGGGUCAUUGGAAGGUGGCUUUCUCUUCGGAGAAAGUGUUUAUAGCCUUUGAUCUCUGCAAUCGGAGAGACUGAGGUCUGCAGCGUAGAUCCUUCGGGGUUAGAUACAUUUGUGCUAAGCUACAGCUUUUCAUAGACAACUUGUUGACUAUGUUUAGUCUUGUGACUUACCCGCUUAUGCUAUUUUACCUACGCUUAGGAUGUUGAGCGCAUGUCUCUCUCU